rnacentral:rRNA from 1 species
CCUACGGGCGGCAGCAGUGAGGAAUAUUGGUCAAUGGGCGCGAGCCUGAACCAGCCAAGUCGCGUGCAGGAAGACGGUCCUAUGGAUUGUAAACCUCUUUUGUCGGGGAGCAAAAGACGCCACGCGUGGCGUUCCGAGAGUACCCGAAGAAAAAGCAUCGGCUAACUCCGUGCCAGCAGCCGCGGUAAUACGGAGGAUGCGAGCGUUAUCCGGAUUUAUUGCGGUUAAAGGGUGCGUAGGCCGGCUUUUAAGUCAGCUGUGAAAGUCCGCGGCUCAACCGUGGAAUUGCAGUUGAAACUGGAGGCCUUGAGUGCACACAGGGAUGCCGGAAUUCAUGGUGUAGCGGUGAAAUGCUUAGAUAUCAUGAAGAACUCCGAUCGCGAAGGCAAGUGUCCGGGGUGCAACUGACGCUGAGGCUCGAAAGUGCGGGUAUCAAACAGGAUUAGAUACCCUAGUAGUC